rnacentral:rRNA from 1 species
GACAGAGGGUGCGAACGUUGUUCGGAAUUACUGGGCGUAAAGCGCGUGUAGGCGGCCAUCUAAGUCGGGCGUGAAAUCCCACGGCUCAACCGGGGAAGUGCAUUUGAAACUGGUAGGCUAGAGAACGGUAGAGGAAGGUGGAAUUCCUAGUGUAGAGGUGAAAUUCGUAGAUAUUAGGAGGAAUACCUGUGGCGAAGGCGGCCUUCUGGGCCGUUUCUGACGCUGAGACGCGAAAGCGUGGGUAGCAAACAGG